GUCAUCUAGGUUUGGAGGAUUAGGCAAAUGUUACGUGAAAAGCUCUGUACUUCUCAUCUCUUUCUGUCCAAGCUUCUCAUCUCCUUCUUCCAUGGUGUAUUUCUAGCUUCUCAUCCCUUAUGUUAUCCUGCAGCUAUCCUUUUUACUAUUUCAUUGCAAAUUCCAGCUGAUUGUAAUUCAAUUUAGUGAAUCAAUAUAGCCAGUUGGUUUGGUCGAUAUUUGGUUUAUUACACUGGUGCUUUCAUCCAGAGGUCUUCAAUGAAAGACCAAAUAUUUCUAACUACUGAUGAUUCAAUUAAGGUCGUGAAGGAUUCGUAGUCAAAGGAUAUCGCUGAAAUUCGUUCAUUGUUACAUGAGUUUGUUGAAAACCUUGCAAUGAGUAAGCCUACUCCAUUGGAAUUCCGACGACUUAGCGGCGAGGAUCCAGAGUUAUGGAUUUCUCAGGCUGAACGCUACUUUGAAUUCUAUGCAUAUCAGAAAAUAACAAAUUAUUACGCAUGUCUAUUUAUCUCGAAGGUGAGGCAUUGGAUUGGUUCCGAUGGCUUCUCCGGAACAAGCAAUUGAAGGGAACACUUUGUCGCAAAGGUGCGAAUUCUUUUUCGUAAGCAGCAUCUCUAAUCGCUGGAAGGUCACAUGGCUACAAUCAAGGAAUAUUCUACUGAAAUUGAAGCCCAGGUGUUCGAUAAUAUGCUACAUAGAUGUUGUUGUUCUAAGGUCUUUGCUACCGAGCGAUCAGAUAUUGAAGUCCUUACUGAUACAAUGAAAUCUGCUUUAAAGAAUACAAAAUCAGAGGAGGUCCAGGUGUUUGAUGAAGGCUCUCAGGGAAAUGGCAACACGCACCAGUCUCACUCUAAGACCUUGAAAACCAAGGUUACUACUGAGGUUCUAGUUAAUCAGAUCGGUAUUUCUUCAAACUCUAUUCCUUCUUGUUUAACUCGUUACAAUUGUAAUGUGACUAAACUACUAGAAUCUAAAAAUAAAGAGGAGAAAAAUACAAAGGAUAAUGUAGCGGUAUUAGAAAUUUCUCCUCUAACGGAUAUAACUAGUUAUCAAAUUCCUUUCGCUAGACAAGGAUAUGUCAUGUCGAAUGCUAUUAGAAAAUUUUCUGGGAUAACAUUUCCAUUUGCUAGUGCUAAUCAAAAUAUAUUGUUCCAUUACCACGAUGUUAACCUACACAAAUACAAUUGGGUUGAUACUGGACAGGAGAGGAGAUUUCAUGGUUUAUUGUCUGUAACAUAUGAACCUACUAUGGCGGAGAAUAUACAGGGAUUACUCCGUACAUUUGCUGAAAGUUACUCCAAGCAGUCCCCAAAUAUUCAGGCCCAUAAAGCUGUUAGACUGUCGCUUGCGAUGUGUGGUCUAGUUUAUAAGACAAAGUCUACUCCGCCAAAUUUUCAUUUGUUCUUAGUUUUGGUUUUUUCACCACAUUUGUUGGCGCUGAAAGAUAUUAUUCAGUCAUGGUUGUGGAUGAUUUCAAGAAGAUUAUUAGGAUAUUAGAGUGUCAUGUUGAUUCCAUAUCCAAUGAUCUAUGCUUUUUGAAUCAAUUCCCAUUGGAUCCUGGUGUGAAUUUGUUCAUGGUAACCCCCAACGGACGCCCCCUGGUUGUUCGAUUGCAACCUAGGACAUCUAUACACACUCUCUUACUUGUGAAGCUUUAUACAUUCCGGACUUUUUGGGUAUUAUCCUACAUUCGUCGCACUAUUGGCAUAAUUCACAAAGACAUUAAUGAUCAUAAUCUUUUGGUGGAUUUCCAUGCUCCUCUGGUUAAUUUAUGUGACUGGGACAUGCUAAAGCUUUGGUUGAAAGACAACUAAAUAUUUCUCACAUAUGCUCUCAGUAUUAUAGAGCGACAGAGAUUAUAUUUGGAGCAACAAAGUACACUACUGUGAUUGGCAUUUGGUCUGCUAGUAGUGUCCUUGUGGGAAUGAAUGUUAAUGAAGAGAUGGUUAAGCUUUGGCCUCUUAUGGACUUAGCAAUCUUGGAUUACUGUGCUUUGUCUAUGUUGAGUGAAGAGCAAAUUUUCUUUGACCGGAGGAGUUGCUGCUGUGGUGGAAUUGAGAAUAAUAUGCCUAGCUGCAACCAAAAUGUCCUUUUUCCUAACUUUUCUAUUUCACCUUGUAGAAAUAUUAAGUUUCAUCAUGCAAAAAUAACUGAUUGUUAUUUACUAGUUCAAGCUCAACAGCCUGUGAUGAAUCUUUUUGUAUGGGAUCCAGGAAUACGUUCCAAGUACAUAUCUCUAAGAAACUAUACAGUGAACAUUGCGGCGGUACUAUUGUUGGGAUCUACUGGCGAGUUUUACUUCAUUAGAUAUGCUAACUCUAUGACUCAAGUAUGGGAUCUUGUACGGAAAUUGGGUAUUCAUUCAUCCCGUUUGCUAACUAGUUUUGCAUUAGCAGUUGCUAGAUGUGGUGCCGAUGACUUCAUUAUUUUUAUACUACAAUCUAUUUUAGAUCCUAGUAACAGAAUUAUUGAGUUCAAUGCCCGAUUCCUCAUUGUGUUAUUUUGCUGCACUACAUACUUGUAGCUUGACUAUGAUGGAAAAUGUAUUUUUUUAGAUGAUAUAAAAGUUGAUUUGAUGAAAAUAGCUUCAAUUGUUGUUGCUGAUGUUGUUCAUAGAACAAUGAUAAUUGAAGGUAAAGGCACUUUUAUCUUGGUUGGUCCUAACAUUAGACUUGGAAAGUUUACAACUACUUGAAUGCUUAUGUGUUAUCUUGCCUAUUUUGGUGGCUGUACAAGCAUUGCAGAGUACAGUAGGGACCAACAAAUUAUUGAGUCAAAUCUAGUGCUUGAACUAAUUAGCAAUGCAAAAACAUUACAAACGGACAAUUCAAGUUGUUGUAUAUUUCUGGAGACUCGGGUUGGCAAGUCUAGAAGAGUAUCUAGUGCAGAAAUGGGAGCGUUCCUCCUUGAAAGAUCUCAAGAAUUAUUAUGUUUAAUUCUUGAACAGAAGCAUCAAUGUUUCUAUCUUCUCUAUGCAGUACCCGCGGAGAUGAAGAAAAAGUGUAGGUUGGGGGAUCCUGAAUCAUUUGACUACCUCAAUCAGUCUUAUCGCUAUGAAUCAGUAAGUGUUACUGGUGCUCAUGGCUCCCUUGGUGUACAAAGAAGAAUUGGCAAAGGGCACUGGAAUUGAUUCAUCAAAUCUAAGGUUGAAAGACAUUGGUCAGCUCUUGACGCAUGUUCGAGUCGUGACAGAUUCACUAACAUAAUGUUAGUGUGGCUCUAUUUGAACCUUGAGGACAAGGUUCUUUUUGAGAGCGGGAGUAUUGUUGUAAACCAGGAUAACUCAAAUGAUAUGUAUGGGCUAGUUAUUUGGACAGAGGCUGUUGGGCCAGUGGCUAAAUUGUGAAGAGGCCCAAGAAUCAGAAAGCCCAACAAGAGAUUUAUCUGGGAUCCGGGUUAAGGAAGUAUGCGACGAAGUGAGUAAAAGGGGCCAUCGUCUGGGUUUGGAGGAUUAGGCAAAUGUUACGUGAAAGCUCUGUACUUCUCAUCUCUUUCUGUCCAAGCUUCUCAUCUCCUUCUUCCAUGGUGUAUUUCUAACUUCGCAUCCCUUCUGUUAUCCUGCAGUUAUCCUUUUUACUAUUUCAUUGCAAAUUCCAGUUGAUUGUAAUUCAAUUUAGUGAAUCAAUAUAGCCAGUUGGUUUGGUCGAUAUUUGGUUUA